UACGAAGGGGGCUAGCGUUGUUCGGAAUUACUGGGCGUAAAGGGCGCGUAGGCGGUGUGUCAAGUCAGGCGUGAAAGCCCCGGGCUCAACCUGGGAACCGCGCUUGAGACUGGCACGCUCGAGUUCGGGAGAGGAUGGUGGAAUUCCUGGUGUAGCGGUGGAAUGCGCAGAUAUCAGGAGGAACACCAGUAGCGGAAGGCAGCUCGCUGGGACGGU
rnacentral:rRNA from 1 species